AAGGUUGUUCCAACGAGUCCGAUACAGUCAUGAUAUGAAAAUAUUGUUACAACCUUGUGUCGUCAACCUUGUAACAUUCUUGUUAUAUCAUGACUGUAUCAGACUUGUUGGAACAACCUU